CUUUUCCCAAAUUCCCCUUCUCCCAAAUUCCCCUUUCUCCCAAAUUCCCUUUUCCCAAAUUGCCUUUUCCCCAAAUCCCCUUUUCCUAAAUUCCCCUUUUCCCAAAUUCCCCUUUUCCCAAAUUCCCUUUUUUCUGAAAUUCCCUUUCUCCCAAAUUCCCCUUUUCCCAAACUCCCUUUCUCCCAAAUUCCCCUUUUCCCAAAUUCCCCUUUUUUCCCAAAUUCCCAUUUUUCCCAAACCCCAGCACUGUUGGGCUUUGGGAAUGGUUUGGGUGGAAAACUCCAGAAUUUGGUGAUCCCCAAAUCCAGAGAAUUGAGAGAGAGGUGAGGGAAUCCCAGAAUCCAGGGAAUCGGGAGAGGAGAGGGAAUCCCAAAAUCCAGGGAAUCAGGAGAGGGAAUCCCAAAAUCCAGGGAAUCGGGAGAGGGAAUCUCAAAAUCCGGGAAAUUGGGAGAGGGAAUCCCAAAAUCCGGGGAAUCGGGAGAGGGAAUCCCAAAAUCCGGGGAAUCCCAAAAUCCAGAGAAUCCCAAAAUCCAGGGAAUCGGGAGACGGAAUCCCAAAAUCCAGGGGCGCUGGGGGAACUGGGAGCACUGGGAUUGGGAACUGGGAAUGCCGGCACUCAGGGACUGGGAUCCCCAUUGUGGAGUUACUGGGAAUACUGGGAGCCGAUCCCAAAUCCCAGUCCUGUGUCCCGGUCUCUGCUCCCUUUUUCCAGGGCCCUUCCCGGUGCCCAUUCCCGGCUCCUCUCCCGUCCCUUUUCCCGUGACUCCAGAGAGGAUUUUCCAUGGAUUUUCCAUGGAUUUUUUGUGGAUUUUUCCAUGGAUUUUCCAUGGAUUUUCCGUGGAUUUUUCCAUGGAUUUUUUGUGGAUUUUCCGUGGAUUUUCCAUGGAUUUUCCAUGGAUUUUUUGUGGAUUUUUCCAUGGAUUUUCCAUGGAUUUUCCGUGGAUUUUUCCAUGGAUUUUUGUGGAUUUUCCUGGAUUUUCCAUGGAUUUUCCAUGGAUUUUUCGUGGAUUUUCUGUGGAUUUUUCCAUGGAUUUUGGAGCUGUGCCUGCAGCUCCAAGUGGGAGCUCCUCGGUGUUCCUGCUCCCAUCCCAUCCCUCCCCGUGAUCCCAGGAGUGGGCAAAUGCUGGGAUAAACCUGGGAAUCGCUGGGAUGAACUGGGAAUCACUGGGGUAAACCUGGUGAUAAACCCAGGAAUCGCUGGGGUAAACCCAGGAAAUCACUGGGAUAAGCCCAGGAAUCACUGGGAUAAACCUGGGAAUCACUGGGAUAAACUGGGAAUCACUGGGAUAAACUGGGAAUCACUGGGGUAAACCUGGGAAUCGCCGGGAUAAACCUGGG
rnacentral:lncRNA from 1 species